rnacentral:rRNA from 1 species
CCUACGGGAGGCAGCAGUGGGGAAUAUUGGGCAAUGGGCGCAAGCCUGACCCAGCAACGCCGCGUGAAGGAAGAAGGCUUUCGGGUUGUAAACUUCUUUUAAGGGGGACGAACAAAUGACGGUACCCCUUGAAUAAGCCACGGCUAACUACGUGCCAGCAGCCGCGGUAAUACGUAGGGGGCAAGCGUUAUCCGGAUUUACUGGGUGUAAAGGGAGCGUAGGCGGCAGUGCAAGUCAGAAGUGAAAGCCCGGGGCUCAACUCCGGGACUGCUUUUGAAACUGUACAGCUUGAUUGCAGGAGAGGG